rnacentral:rRNA from 1 species
GAUGAACGCUAGCGACAGGCUUAACACAUGCAAGUCGAGGGGCAGCAUUAAUGAUAGCAAUAUUAUUAGAUGGCGACCGGCGCACGGGUGAGUAACGCGUAUGCAACCUACCUAUCAGAUUGGGAUAGCCCAUCGAAAGAUGGAUUAAUACCGAAUAAAACAGGGGCCUCGCAUGAGGAUAUUUGUUAAAGAUUUAUUGCUGAUAGAUGGGCAUGCGUUCCAUUAGUUAGUUGGUAUGGGUAACGGCCUACCAAGACAUCGAUGGAUAGGGGUUCUGAGAGGAAGGUCCCCCACACUGGUACUGAGGCACGGACCAGACUCCUACGGGAGGCAGCAGUGAGGAAUAUUGGUCAAUGGGCGAGAGCCUGAACCAGCCAAGUCGCGUGAAGGAUGACUGCCCUAUGGGUUGUAAACUUCUUUUAUGUGGGAAUAAAAAAGGGCACGUGUGCUCUAUUGCAUGUACCACUAUGAAUAAGCAUCGGCUAACUCCGUGCCAGCCGCCGCC